CAUGUUUUAAACAACAGUAGAGAUUUCUUUUGGAUAUUCUUUGGAUAAACCUUCAAUUAGCGUCACAAAACAGACUGGCUGGACUUUGCAGAGAAUUGCUGGCAGUUCUGUAGGGGACUGCAGAAAUUUCACUGCAUGCUGCCUGGCCUGCUGAGUUCCUCCAGCAUUUUGUGCGUGUUACAGCACAAUUUCCAGCAUCUGCAGAUUUUCUCCUGGUUAUUUAAUUUCUGCCAUUUUAAUAACCUUGCUGCCUGAGGUUUCUGGUACCGUUCUGGACAGGGUGUCAGUCGAGACAAGAGCUGGUUUUGCUCGUUCUCCGCAAUGACCUGAAGUGGACGCUGAUGCAAAUUCUAUGAUACGGAAUAUAAGCCUUUUCUUUAUUUGAAGCUCAAGUAUAAUUACAAAGCUGGUGAAGAACUGGCUUAUAGAAAGGAGAUUGAAAAUCUGACUGAGUGGUGCCACAUCAACAACUUCUCACUCAAUGUCAGCAAGACUGAAGAGUUGAUUAUUGACAACAGGUGGAAGAGGCUAGAGAUCCAUGGGCCAGUCCUCAUUAGGGCAACAGAGGCGGAGAAGGUCAGCAACUUUAAAUUCUUUGGCUUUAACAUAUGAGACCUCCAAGAGGACCACAACCUUGUCAUGGUUUAGAGGCUUGCACGCCUCAAUGAUCUGGAGAGCUAGGUUGGUUGGAGUUACAUCUUUAUGCUUUGGCUCUUGGUAGGGUCACCCAUACCAAACAGGACAAAGGGUAGAGGCCAGACUAAGAGUGGUCCACUGGUCCUCCAGGUUUUGGGGGUUCAGCUCCGGUUUACAAUCCUGACUGGCAAAAUAAAAUUGUUAUGGAAAUAGCAAUGAAGAAUCCUUCCAUGUCUGAGUGUGAUGGGAUUCCUGAGUCUCCACUUGGGGUUUGCAUGACAGUAUGAAGACUGAGCUACUGACAUGAUGAAGGAAGCCCUGAACACCGCCAGAGAUGGAGGACCUUCACAGCUGCCCUAAACACCAGCAGCAUAACGGGCAGUAAGUGAGGCGAACUGACUAGUUGAAGGGAAGUAGCUGUUCUUGAACUUGGAACUUCAGGCCUCCUGCCCGAUGGUAGCUGAGAGAAGACGCCAUGGCCGCAAAAACUUUUAUGGUUGUACUGUGGAGAACAUUAUGACAAGCUGCAUCACUGUGCUGUAUGGAGGGGCUACCGCACAAGACCGGAAGCUGCAUGAUGCACCAUCAAUAACUCCCAGAGACUGGAAGUGAACGAUAGGCUUUUAUCAACAGCGAAAAGGGAGCACGACAUGUCGAAGACUGAGGGAGGAGCAGUGCCCUGAUCACCUUUAUACAGGGGUCUGUGGGAGGAGCCACAGGAGCAAUUAACAGAGAGGUGUGUCCAGACAGGUAUAUAUAGUUCACCACACUACAGAAGGUUGUAAAUCUAGUCAGCUCAUCUUGGGUACUAGCCUGCAAGGUACCCAGGACAUCUACGAGGAGCAAUGUCUCAGAAAGGCAGCAUCCGUUACUAAGGACCUCCAGCACCCAGGGCAUGUCCUUUUCUCACUGUUACCAUUAGGUAGGAGGUACAGAAGCCAAAAGCACACACUCAGUAAUUCAGAAACAGCUUCUUCUCC